rnacentral:rRNA from 1 species
AGGUCCUACGGGACGCAGCAGUGAGGAAUAUUGGUCAAUGGGCGGAAGCCUGAACCAGCCAAGUCGCGUGAGGGAAGAAGGCCCUGCGGGUCGCAGACCUCUUUGGACGGGGAGCAAGGCCGCCGACGUGUCGGCGGAAGGAGAGUACCCGUAGAACAAGCAUCGGCUAACUCCGUGCCAGCAGCCGCGGUAAUACGGAGGAUGCGAGCGUUAUCCGGAUUUAUUGGGUUUAAAGGGUGCGCAGGCGGCACGGCAAGCCGGCGGUCAAAUCGCGGGGCUCAACCCCGUCGAGCCGUUGAAACUGG